ensembl:lncRNA
AACAAUCUGCUGUGCUAGAUACACCCUUAGGACAGGAUUGGUUUGGAAUGGGAAGGACUGGUGGAGCUUGUCAUUAAACAAAAAUUGUGUUUAAUAAAACUUUAUAACCGUGAUUAAUCCUAUGAGGCCCUAAAGGAGUUUGCAGUUUCUGAUAAACACAUUUUCCUUGUUUGCAAUGGUAAUGAUAUUUUGAAGUGAAUGGAAUCUGAACAAAAAACUCUAAGGGUAAAAAAGGACUUGUCAGGUACCACCUAUGAAGAAAUUACAAUGACACAAAAGAAAAAGGAGCCACCCACAAGGGAAACCUUAGAUUAUAUGUUUGAAGGAAGAAAGAAAAGAUAGGUCAUUGAAGGUCUGCCUUUAGAGUAGUCUGAUCACCACAGAAGUGCCUAUAAAAACACAGAAAUUAUCUGAGGGCAUCUAGCAUGCGAGGAAUAGCACCACAUGUUAGGUGCAGGUGCUCAUUUGCAAAUGCGUACAGGACUGGAGCUACAGCCAUGAGCUGAAGUAAUUUGUUUGCAGGGAGCAGGGAAUAUUUUCCACUGUGAAUGCUUUGCUGACCAGCACAAAGUCCCAGGACUGAAUCACUAAAAAAAGACAUUUUGCAAGGAGAGCAGCAAAGCACUCUAACAAAGACAUUAGGGUCCCAGAACAGUGACAGCUUUAAGGCAGUGUUCAUGUCCUUCUGGCACUGAAAUGACUCAUGGCCCAGAGGAGAUAUCGGGAUGUGAUUAAGGAUAAGUAUACUUUUGUAUGUUAUAUAUUAAUUGGCCCUCCAAUAAUUUCAUUUAUUUUCAAGUUACCUCUGCUUUAACAGUUCU